GACGAACGCUGGCGGCGUGCUUAACACAUGCAAGUCGAGCGGUAAGGCCCUUUCGGGGGUACGACGAGCGGCGAACGGGUGAGUAACACGUGGGUGACCUGCCCUCAGCUCUGGGAGUAAGCCUGGGAAACUGGGUCUAAUACUGGAUAUGACUCCACGGUGCAUGUCGUGGGGUGGAAAGCCUUGUGCGGCUGAGGAUGGGCCCGCGGCCUAUCAGCUUGUUGGUGGGGUGAGGCCUACCAAGGCGACGACGGGUAGCCGGCCUGAGAGGGCGACCGGCCACACUGGGACUGAGACACGGCCCAGACUCCUACGGGAGGCAGCAGUGGGGAAUCUUGCGCAAUGGGCGAAAGCCUGACGCAGCGACGCCGCGUGAGGGAUGACGGCCUCGG
rnacentral:rRNA from 1 species